UAGCGGAGGAAAAGAAACUAACAAGGAUUCCCCUAGUAACGGCGAGUGAAGCGGGAAGAGCUCAAAUUUGAAAUCUGGUAGCCUUCGGUUGCCCGAGUUGUAAUCUAGAGAAGUGUUUUCCGUGCCGGCCCAUGUACAAGUCCCUUGGAACAGGGCGUCAUAGAGGGUGAGAAUCCCGUCCUUGACAUGGACCCCCGGUGCUUUGUGAUACACUUUCAACGAGUCGAGUUGUUUGGGAAUGCAGCUCAAAAUGGGUGGUGAAUUCCAUCUAAAGCUAAAUAUUGGCGAGAGACCGAUAGCGAACAAGUACCGUGAGGGAAAGAUGAAAAGCACUUUGGAAAGAGAGUUAAACAGUACGUGAAAUUGUUGAAAGGGAAACGAUUGAAGUCAGUCAUGCUCUUAGGAUUCAGCCGUUCUGCGGUGUAUUUCCUUUGAGUGGGGUCAACAUCAGUUUUGAUCGAUGGAUAAAGGCACGAGGAAGGUAGCACUCUCGGGUGAACUUAUAGCCUCGCGUCAUAUACAUUGAUUGGGACUGAGGAACGCAGCAUGCCUUUAUGGCCGGGAUUCGUCCACGUACAUGCUUAGGAUGUUGACAUAAUGGCUUUAAACGACCCGUCUUGAAACACGGACCA
rnacentral:rRNA from 1 species